AUAUCCAUGCCUACUGUACAACCAUUGUUGAGUGCAUAUAAAGCACACGUGCUGCUAGUAUCAAAGUGUUUUAUUUAUUUAUUUAUUUUUUCCCCUUAAAUAGGCUAACAUUACAGGAGUGGUUUGCUAAGUCCAUACAUGUGUAUGAGCCGCUUCAUGUAAACGCCACAUCAUGUGCCAACUUGUUAUACGUGUAAGAAGCUGUAUAUCAUGUAGAUCCCACCAUCUACAUCCCAUGGACAAGAUGUUAGGCUGUGCCAAUUUUCUGGUGGGCCACAAUGUUGUCAAACCUCUUAGUAAGACUUGACUAGAUUGAUGAGCUGAUGGCUGGAGUUUGUGCCAUAGCAUCAAACUAAUGUAAAGAACCUGAUAGACAGCCCGGAUCUCACAGUAUAUGCGACGAUGGCACAGUUGUUGGCAUGUGGCUGAGAUGCCUUAUAGAUGGAUGUUGGCUUUCAUGACAAAAUAUGUUUUUGGUCUUCUGCUGUCUCUUUCAUGCUUCAGUUCUAACUGGCGUUUAUAGGAACUGCUACUCGAUCUUUUACUCAUCUUCAAUCCACAGCUGUUGACGGAUUGGAUACAAACGACAUUACAAUAUAAGCAGUCUGUAUUGUUUCAUGUCUGUGACCCUACAUUUCUUUCUCGUCCUCUUGGGCCUACAUGUAAUAACUGGGCUUUGGGGUCAUUAGUGGGAGGAACUCUAUUGGCAUGUGAGUGGUGUCAAUGCAAACUUCUUCAUGGACAGUUGGAAGAGCCCGGGUAGAGGAGGAAGGUGGGCAGCCAAUCGUGAUAAGUUUGCCGGUGUACCAUUUCAAAGCCAACUGAAGCUGUUGGGAGAGUGACUAAGAUGAUGAUGGUGAUGACACAAUUUAAAAUAGGAAUAUUCAAGAAUGCAGCAGUAAAUAAUACAACUUUUACUGUUUGGUACAUGUAAUUUAUGAUUUAUUGUGGAGUAUUUUGAGUGCACUAAUGUUUUCUUGAAAUUAGAAUAAAAUGUUUGUGAAACUCUUCUGGGACU